rnacentral:rRNA from 1 species
AAUUCGCCCUUAGAGUUUGAUCCUGGCUCAGGAUGAACGCUGGCGGCGCGCCUAACACAUGCAAGUCGAACGGCACCCAUCUUCGGAUGGAAGCGAGUGGCGAACGGCUGAGUAACACGUGGAGAACCUGCCCCCUCCCCCGGGAUAGCCGCCCGAAAGGACGGGUAAUACCGGAUACCCCGGGGUGCCGCAUGGCACCCCGGCUAAAGCCCCGACGGGAGGGGAUGGCUCCGCGGCCCAUCAGGUAGACGGCGGGGUGACGGCCCACCGUGCCGACAACGGGUAGCCGGGUUGAGAGACCGACCGGCCAGAUUGGGACUGAGACACGGCCCAGACUCCUACGGGAGGCAGCAGUGGGGAAUCUUGCGCAAUGGGGGGAACCCUGACGCAGCGACGCCGCGUGCGGGACGGAGGCCUUCGGGUCGUAAACCGCUUUCAGCAGGGAAGAGUCAAGACUGUACCUGCAGAAGAAGCCCCGGCUAACUACGUGCCAGCAGCCGCGGUAAUACGUAGGGGGCGAGCGUUAUCCGGAUUCAUUGGGCGUAAAGCGCGCGUAGGCGGCCCGGCAGGCCGGGGGUCGAAGCGGGGGGCUCAACCCCCCGAAGCCCCCGGAACCUCCGCGGCUUGGGUCCGGUAGGGGAGGGUGGAACACCCGGUGUAGCGGUGGAAUGCGCAGAUAUCGGGUGGAACACCGGUGGCGAAGGCGGCCCUCUGGGCCGAGACCGACGCUGAGGCGCGAAAGCUGGGGGAGCGAACAGGAUUAGAUACCCUGGUAGUCCCAGCCGUAAACGAUGGACGCUAGGUGUGGGGGGACGAUCCCCCCGUGCCGCAGCCAACGCAUUAAGCGUCCCGCCUGGGGAGUACGGCCGCAAGGCUAAAACUCAAAUGAAUUGACGGAAGGGCGAAUU